rnacentral:rRNA from 1 species
CCUACGGGUGGCAGCAGUGAGGAAUAUUGGUCAAUGGGCGCGAGCCUGAACCAGCCAAGUCGCGUGAGGGAAGAAGGUACUAUGGAUUGUAAACCUCUUUUGUCGGGGAGCAAAGGCCGCCACGCGUGGCGUUCUGAGAGUACCCGAAGAAAAAGCAUCGGCUAACUCCGUGCCAGCAGCCGCGGUAAUACGGAGGAUGCGAGCGUUAUCCGGAUUUAUUGGGUUUAAAGGGUGCGCAGGCGGAAGAUUAAGUCAGCGGUAAAAUUGAGAGGCUCAACCUCUUCGAGCCGUUGAAACUGGUGUGCUUGAGUGAGUGAGAAGUAUGCGGAAUGCGUGGUGUAGCGGUGAAAUGCAUAGAUAUCACGCAGAACUCCGAUUGCGAAGGCAGCAUACCGGCGCUCAACUGACGCUGAGGCACGAAAGUGUGGGUAUCGAACAGGAUUAGAUACCCGAGUAGUC